AGGUCAAGUUUGUGCAGUUAGGAAUGCUAUAAUCCAUGGUAGGGAGAACAGCCUGCCAUAUCCUAAUGGGAUUGUACUAGAUGUUUCAGUAACAGACAGAAUGUAAAAUGGAAUUUGCAGAAUUACCUGCCUUCUGCCAAUGUCUCUUAACGCCAUACAGCACAAGCAGCAGCGUAUGCCUGUUUCAGCCAGUGCUUAGCUGACCUCAUCUUCUGACUGAAGUCAGAGGCACAUGGAGAACUCUUUGUAUUUAUUUGCUCUUGCAAAGGUGGCUUUUUCUUUUUUUUCCUAUUUUUCUCUCAGUCCAAGCUUACAACCAAGUUCCUGGGCUGCACCAUAUGUGUACUACCAGGACACCUCACAGUGAACACCAUCUUUGCUGCAAUGUUCAAAUGCCAGAGCAAGGUGACAUUUUUCAGUGCCAAAAGAAAGAAUGAGGAGGUUUUGGCUCUACAGAUAGUUAGAAAGGUUUUGGGUUUUCAAAUAAAGGAGCUGAAGAAGCUGAAAGAUUUAAGCAGCAUAUAUGGUACAAAAAACAAUCUGAAGUGAACACCACUCAGGUCACUGACUUUUGGAUUAACGUUUCUGUGCCAAAUCUAAAGAACAAGUUUUAUGCCUGCAGGUAGGAGCUGUAACACCAGUAAUCAUUCAAUUAUAGACAACAGGCAGAGCCUUUUGAACAGUUACAGGCAAAAUGGGGGAAAAUAUCCAGAAGACCUGAAGACCCUGCAUUCAGGUGUGCCCUUACAGCUCUCUUGC